rnacentral:rRNA from 1 species
AAACAACAGUGAUUCCCUUAGUAACUGCGAGUGAAGCGGGAAAAGCCCAUCGUUUAAUCUCCCUGGACUAUGGACAGGGCGACAUGUAACGGUAUGGAUAGGUUCUCUACUAACGACGUCUGACCAAAGUCCUCCGGAUUGAGGUGCCAGAGAGGGUGACAGCCCCGUGUGUGGUUGGACGGCGUUGGGUAUGUGACCGAUUCCGAGAGUCGGGUUGUUUGGGACUGCAACCUAAAGUAGGUGGUAAACUCCACCCAAGGCUAAAUAUGGACACGAAACCGAUAGCGAACAAGUACUGUGAAGGAAAGUUGAAAAGAACUCUGAAAAGAGAGUUAAAAGUACGUGAAACCGCUAACGGGGAAGCGGAAGGCAGUGUCGAGAUUGAGCAAGUGAGUUGUCUGAAGCGUGUUUGGUGUGCUGAGUUGUUGGUGCGCAAGUGCGUUUGAGGCGGCUAGCUUUGCUCGAUGCGUCAGGCCUAUUGGCGAGCGUCAGCGUAACGGUCGAUAUGGCCUCUACGACACUCGUUUGUUUUUCAUGCGAGCUCGUGGUUGCGAUCGGUCGUCAGCGAUGCGCGCUGAUAUGUAUGAGAUGAAGCGCCGGUGAUGUAUGGUCGGUUGUGCUUUGUGGCGUUUUGCAUUAGUCACAUUGUGGCUAAGUGUAGAAUUUUGCAGGUGUACAACAACCGGUGCUAGCUCCUGACGAGAUACCCAACUUUC